rnacentral:rRNA from 1 species
GAUGAACGCUGGCGGCGUGCUUAACACAUGCAAGUCGAACGGAAAGGCCCUGCUUUUGUGGGGUGCUCGAGUGGCGAACGGGUGAGUAACACGUGAGUAACUUGCCCUUGACUUUGGGAUAACUUCAGGAAACUGGGGCUAAUACCGGAUAGGAGCUCCUGCUGCAUGGUGGGGGUUGGAAAGUUUCGGCGGUUGGGGAUGGACUCGCGGCUUAUCAGCUAGUUGGUGGGGUAGUGGCUUACCAAGGCUUUGACGGGUAGCCGGCCUGAGAGGGUGACCGGCCACAUUGGGACUGAGAUACGGCCCAGACUCCUACGGGAGGCAGCAGGGGGGAAUAUUGCACAAUGGGCGGAAGCCUGAUGCAGCAACGCCGCGUGCGGGAUGACGGCCUUCGGGUUGUAAACCGCUUUCGACUGUGACGAAGCGUGAGUGACGGUAAUGGGUAAAGAAGCACCGGCUAACUACGUG